AAUGGCUAGGGAAUAACUUGAGUUACUUCCAACAUGUUCAAAAGAGGUCUAUUCAUCAGUCAACAUAUUGCUCUUGAAGGAACAAAGGUCUAUCGCACAGGUUACAAAUUUGGGAAGUUUCCUGAACUGUCAUACUCGCUAGGCGAGCAGAAGGGUUCGCCUAGCGAGUCCCAAGAAAAGCCACCAGAGUCACCUGCGCCCAGAAGAACUUCCUGAGCUGUCUUGCUCGCUAGGCGAGCAAAUUCUUCGCUAGGCGAAAC
rnacentral:lncRNA from 1 species